AUUGAACGCUGGCGGCAGGCCUAACACAUGCAAGUCGAACGAGUGGCGGACGGGUGAGUAAUGUCUGGGAAACUGCCCGAUGGAGGGGGAUAACUACUGGAAACGGUAGCUAAUACCGCAUACCAUCAGAUGUGCCAAUAUGGGAUUAGCUAGUUGGUGGGGUAAAGGCUCACCAAGGCGACGAUCCCUAGCUGGUCUGAGAGGCUGACCAGCCACACUGGAACUGAGACACGGCCCAGACGCGUACGGGAGGCAGCAGUGGGGAAUAUUGCACAAGGGGGGAAAUCCUGAUGCAGCCAUGCCGCGUGUAUGAAGAAGGCCUUCGGGUUGUAAAGUACUUUCAGCGGGGAGGCGUUACCCGCAGAAGAAGAACCGGCUAACUACGGGCCAGCAGCCGCGGUAAUAC
rnacentral:rRNA from 1 species